rnacentral:lncRNA from 1 species
AUUAUUUUUAGUGUGAUGAUGAAGACAGGAAUGUGUAGUACACUGCUAAAGUGAGAAUUUAACAUGAAAAAAGAAACCUAUUGAAGGUCUAGCUGUGCUAUUCAUAGCGCACAGUAGCCUGUAUCAGUUGCUAAGAAGAGUUUAGUGUUAUGUGAAAGCAGUGAUGAAAAUGUUCAAAAUAGCCAAUUCCCAAUGACUCAUAGGGUACGUGUGUCCUUUAAGUUUCUCACCUGCUUUUGUCCUAGGGCCACGUUUCUGCUUUUAUGUUUCCAGACAGAGGCUGAAAAGGCAUACAGGAGGAAAUGUGAUUAGGCCAGCGCGACAUCACUCUUCCCCCAAGCAGGGAAAAGCAGGGCCAAGCAGGGCCAAGCGGAUGGAAGCUAGAAGCACCAUUUUCUCCCAAAAGGGAUUAAGACAAGGCUCGGCAAACUGAACCAGCAAUGUCCGGUGUUUUGAUGGUACUCAUGUGGUCUCCACCUCCAGAAUGCCGGUUCCCGUACCACCAAGAACUAAUACCGCCUGUUGUGAUCUGUGCAAACCUACUCCACUUUCAGACUGUGUGAACAUUGUCAUCAUACUCAAUAAGCAAUUAGUGGUGCAAACACUGACUGUGGUAACAUCAGUGUUCAGCUAAUUUGUUUAAUUUAAUUAAGCAUUUAAUUUCCUUCUGGUGUUUUUUAUAAAAGAAAAACAGGAGGGAGGAAGAAUAACCUCAGGUUAUUACUGACUUCAACCUUUUCGGGUACCACCUCUCGGGCUGUAGCAAACUAUGAAUCUUUUAAAAGCAAAACACAAAGUAAAAUAAAAAUUAUGUUUAAACUUUCAAAAGAUAAUGAAAAUAUAAUUCCUUUCAAAGGGUGUCGUAGUUUCACCAUGUUCCUUAGAAUAAAUAUUAUGAAGAAGUAUAAAAUUAUAUAGAAUACAAUAUUACAGAGUUAUGUAAAGUCCUGAGGACUAGUCCCGCAAAUGUCAUCAGCCCAUUCUUCAGCAGUUGACAUUUAUCAGUCUUUCCUGACAAUGCCUGGCCUCUU